CCCACACCCAUGUAUGUAGGACCCCAAAGGAUCACCAUUAAAUUUGGCACAGAUCUCUAGAAAAGUUAUCACAUGAGUGUGGGACUUGACUUUUCUAGAGAUCUGUGCCAAAUUUAAUGAUGAUCAUUUGGGGUCCUACACACAUGGGUGUGAG
rfam:Amborella trichopoda AMTR_V1.0_contig_12462, whole genome shotgun sequence.